CUCUUUCAGAAAGCGCUACUGCGGAGUGAACCGGUCCUUAUAUCUUAGUUUCGUGACUUUGGGGGCGGCAGGCCUGUGAGUUGUUUUCCGCCCUGGACGCUGUUUUGCAAAGAUCUCUGCGCGCCCACCGCCACCCUCCCGGGCGUGCGGGCCGGGAAGCAGCCAGCGGUGGGAAACUCCGACGCCCUCCUCGACACUUUUCUCCCCCCAACUCCCCAAGACUCACUUCUAGGGAAGUCCUUUUUCCCAUCAAGCCCUGGGAAAGACUGGCCAGGCUGAGAGAGGGACCCGUCCUCCUCUGUGCCAAAGGCGGGAGCAAAUCCUGGUGCUGUCGCCUUUGGAUGAAACUUUUCGCGCAGAAACUCCUGGAGAACAGCCCCGGCCGCCAGGUACUCGCCCGCCCGGACCGCAAAGCCCACAGAGCUUCAAUUCGCAGGAAGGGGAGUGGGGAGCCCUGAGCUGGGGUGUUCCUGGAAGAGGUCGGGGAGCGGGGGGAGAGGCAUUCCAGGCUGGAGGCCUGGAAACGUUUGGAAGCUUUGCUAACCUUGGAGACCAUGUCAGGAAAGAAGCGUACCCAGGCCGUCUGCUGUGUGCCCACCCCGAUCCCCAUCAGUGCCCCACGCACUCGAGCUCUUCUUCGGCGUCUGCAGCCUCUUCAUCCGCGCGGAGAGGCGGAGGUCUCCCGGAAACAGUGUCCGACUGUGGCACCCCAGAGCGUCCAAUGCGAGCUCAGGCCUUUCCCGCAAGUCUGGAGUUUUCUUAUCCAGUUGAGGCCGCCUUCGCUGUACUCACUCUCUGCCUCCCACCCCAUCUUCUGCCACCCGACCUCCAUCUUUGAUGGUUAGCGCCUUCAGCCCUCAACAGCUUCGCACAACCAACCCCUAGAAGCCGUGGAGUCAGACCGGCCAGGGUGGGACCUAGGUUUUAACUCGGGUUCUGGCUACACACGCUGCGCCUCCAUACAGUUUGUCCCAGGUUUGGCAGCAGGCCGGCUACCUUCAGGAAUUCUUUGCUUUGGCUUCUGUCUGUUCCUGUCUGUUGGGCAAGUUUCUAGCUACCCCACUGAGAGAACCAUAGAACAAGGACCCUGGCAUGGCAUACAGACAAGGAAUGUUUGCUGAAUUAAUGGAGCUGGUGCCUUGCAGCUUCCCUUUUGUUCCUUGAAGUUGCCCUUGCUCUCCUCCACAUCAGCUCCCUCUCCUCCUCAGCUACUUAUUCCCCACCCUGGCUUCUUCUAGUCGCAGUCCCCAAGUACUUGCUGAAUCCUGUAUGGACAGCCUAAGCCUCCAUUUCUGACAAUUCCUGUGGCCCCACUCCAUUUGUUUUUUAGACUUCUCCCUCCUUUUUGUCCCCAUCCCCCAAGUUAUAAAACUAUAAUGCAAUUCUUUGGAUUUUUCUUU
rnacentral:lncRNA from 1 species